GACGAACGCUGGCGGCGUGCUUAACACAUGCAAGUCGAACGGAAAGGCCCUGCUUUUGUGUGGUGCUCGAGUGGCGAACGGGUGAGUAACACGUGAGUAACCUGCCCUUGACUUUGGGAUAACUUCAGGAAACUGGGGCUAAUACCGGAUAGGAGCUCCUGCUGCAGGGUGGGGGUUGGAAAGUUUGGGCGGUUGGGGAUGGACGCGCGGCUUAUCAGCUUGUUGGUGGGGUAGUGGCUUACCAAGGCUUUGACGGGUCGCCGGCCUGAGAGGGUGACCGGCCACAUUGGGCCUGAGAUACGGCCCAGACUCCUACGGGAGGCAGCAGUGGGGAAUCUUGCACAAUGGGCGGAAGCCUGAUGCAGCAACGCCGCGUGCGGGAUGACGGCCUUCGGGUUGUAAACCGCUUUCGCCUGUGACGAAGCGUGAGUGACGGUAAUGGGUAAUGAAGCACCGGCUAACUACGUG
rnacentral:rRNA from 1 species